AUGACCUCAGCGCGGUGACGCGCUCACGUGUCCAGCGAUUGCCAUUGCCGGUCGUCAGUCCAUUGCGAUUGAGAACACCGGCAAUCACGUCGUCAU
rnacentral:sRNA from 1 species